rnacentral:lncRNA from 1 species
CCCUCCAGCAGGAAACCAGUGUAGUUAUGUUGUUUGUACUUGCCAGGAUACACUUCCAUUUCAUAUUUGCAAGUACACAUAAAGGUAUCCUUCAUCAGCAGCACAGUGCUUCCUUUCCUCUGAAUCUGCCAUCAGCUCAGGCAGAUUUCUAAGCAGCAAAUCAGCCUUUGCCAGAACACUGCAGGACACCAGUGCAGCGCCCAGCCUGCGACCAUGAGCCUGUUUGGUGGUCUCUUCACAUGGACGCGAGUGACAUUUGGUGCCGUGACUCGGAUCGGGGAACCUCCCUUGGGAGAUCAAUCCCCUGUCCUCCUGCUCUUUGUUCCAAGAGAAAGAUCCACCUACGACCUCUGCUCCUCAGACCAACCAGCCCAAGGAACAUCUCACCAAUUUUAAAUCGGAUCUUCUGGGCUUAGUGGCUGAAGACUGACACUGCCCGAUCACCUGAGAAGCCUCCUGGACCAUCACAGAUGCUUUAGGCUCUAGGGGAUGGUAGAGUCACAGGAUGGAAGAACUCUGUGUCCUUGAAUCAUUGCAUGGAAGAGAACUGGAAGUUGCCCAGGAACACCAGCCUUGGACAGUUAUGUGAACAAGAAAUAAACUUCUUUUACAGUGUCAUUUAUGUUUUUGAGCAUCUUUGUUACAGCGGCUAGGUGUAUACUAAUUCAGGGAUUCUGUGAUAGCAAUAUUUCUUCUUCUUUUGAGUAGGUUUCCAAAACUUGAUUUUCCACAAUUCUGAAAUAUUUUGGUUCUGGGAUAAACUU